rnacentral:rRNA from 1 species
GAUGAACGCUGGCGGCGUGCCUAAUACAUGCAAGUCGAGCGAACAGAUGAGGAGCUUGCUCCUCUGACGUUAGCGGCGGACGGGUGAGUAACACGUGGAUAACCUACCUAUAAGACUGGGAUAACUUCGGGAAACCGGAGCUAAUACCGGAUAAUAUAUUGAACCGCAUGGUUCAAUAGUGAAAGACGGUUUUGCUGUCACUUAUAGAUGGAUCCGCGCCGCAUUAGCUAGUUGGUAAGGUAACGGGUUACCAAGGCAACGAUGCGUAGCCGACCUGAGAGAGUGAUCGCCCACAUGGGAACUUAACCACGGUCAAGACGACUACGGGAGGGCGCAGUAGGGAAUGUGCCGCAAUAGGCGAGAACCUGACGGAGCAACGGCGCGUGAGUGAUGAAGGUCUUCGGAGCGUAAAACUCGGUUAUGAGGGAAGAACAAAUGUGUAAGUAACUAUGCACUUCUUGACGGUACCUAAUCAGAAAGCCACGGCUAACUACGUG